UGCAGUCGGACGACAGGCGAGGAAUUCGCAAGGAGGAAUCGUGCUGAGUGGCGAASGGGUGAGUAAGACAUGGGGACGUACCCUCAAGAGGGGGAUAGCAUUCCGAAAGGGAUGGUAAUACCCGCGUAAGCUCGAGAGAGGGAAGGKGCAMCAGCACCGCUKGAGGAGCGACUCAUGGCCCAUCAGUUAGUUGGUGAGGUAAAGGCCCACCRRGGCUAUGACGGGUAGCUGGUCUGAGAGGAUGGUCAGCCACACUGGGACUGAGACACGGCCCAGACGUCCUACGGGAGGCAGCAGUGGGGAAUUUUUCCCAAUGGGSGARAGCCUGAGGGAGCGACGCCGCGUGGAGGAAGGAGUCUUUCGAGAUGUAAACUCCUGUUGUAAGGGAGCAAGGGUAUAUGUAGUGGAAAGGCAUAUACUCGGAUAGUACCUUACGAGGAAGCCCCGGCUAACUACGUGCCAGCAGCCGCGGUAAUACGUAGGGGGCGAGCGUUGUCCGGAGUUACUGGGCGUAAAGGGUGCGUAGGUGGCCGAUAAAGUCAAUUGUGAAAUUCCACGGCUCAACUGUGGGAGUGCGGUUGAAACUAAUCGGSUUGAGGUCAGGUCAGGAAGAUGGAAUUGUCAGUGUAGGGGUGAAAUCCGUAGAUAUUGGCAAGAACGCCGGUGGUGAAGACGGUCUUCUGGGCUGAUACUGACACUGAGGCACGAAAGCUAGGGGAGCGAACGGGAUUAGAUACCCCGGUAGUCCUAGCCGUAAACGAUGUUCACUGAGUAUGGGA
rnacentral:rRNA from 1 species